UACAGAGGUCUCAAGCGUUGUCCGGAUUUAUUGGGCGUAAAGAGCGUGUAGGCGGCUAGGUAGGUCCGUUGUGAAAACUCGAGGCUCAACCUCGAGACGCCGGUGGAAACCAUCUAGCUAGAGUCCGGAAGAGGAGAGUGGAAUUCCUGGUGUAGCGGUGAAAUGCGCAGAUAUCAGGAAGAACACCCGUGGCGAAGGCGGCUCUCUGGUACGUGACUGACGCUGAGACGCGAAAGCGUGGGGAGCGAACAGG
rnacentral:rRNA from 1 species